UACGGGGGGUGCGAGCGUUGUCCGGAAUCACUGGGCGUAAAGGGCGCGUAGGUGGUUUGAUAAGGGUGUGGUGAAAGUCCGGGGCUCAACCCCGGAUCUGCCGUGCCGACUGUCAAACUCGAGGGCUGUAGAGGCAGACGGAAUUCCGGGUGUAGCGGUGGAAUGCGUAGAGAUCCGGAGGAAGACCGGUGGCGAAGGCGGUCUGCUGGGCAGUUUCUGACACUGAUGCGCGACAGCGUGGGGAGCGAACAGG
rnacentral:rRNA from 1 species